GAGGUGGCGCUGUGGGGCCGCGCAGGGUCUAGGGCGACUUUCUGAGGGAGCCGCGGCCGCCAGGCUCCGUGGGUUUUGGUUCAGGCGCCGGUGUGCCCAAGGAUGUUGUAGAACUCUGUCUAGCCACAGUGUGGGGAUGGGGAGCUCCCGCCGACAGACUCUGUUGCUUUCUGGCUUC
rnacentral:lncRNA from 1 species